rnacentral:rRNA from 1 species
UUGUCAACCUGCCCUGGAGACAAGGACAACCCCGGGAAACUGGGAUUAAUCCUUGAUAGGUCAUCUCAUCUGGAAGGAGAGAUGGCUUAAAGGGGUACGCGGGCUUCUUCCGGGCAUCCGCUCCAGGAUGGGACUGCGUCCGAUCAGGCUGUUGGCGGGGUAAUGGCCCACCAAACCUGUAACCGGUACGGGCCUUGAGAGAGGUGGCCCGGAGAUGGACACUGAGAGAAGGGUCCAGGUCCUACGGGGCGCAGCAGGCGCGAAACCUUCGCAAUGCGCGAAAGCGUGACGA